GGGUGUAUAGCUCAGCUGGUCAGAGCGCUACGUUCACAUCGUAGAGGUCGUUGGUUCGAACCCAACUACACCCACCA
rnacentral:tRNA from 1 species